rnacentral:rRNA from 1 species
GAUGAACGCUGGCGGCGUGCCUAAUACAUGCAAGUCGAGCGAACGGACGAGAAGCUUGCUUCUCUGAUGUUAGCGGCGGACGGGUGAGUAACACGUGGAUAACCUACCUAUAAGACUGGGAUAACUUCGGGAAACCGUAGCUAAUACCGGAUAAUAUUUUGAACCGCAUGGUUCAAAAGUGAAAGACGGUCUUGCUGUCACUUAUAGAUGGAUCCGCGCUGCAUUAGCUAGUUGGUAAGGUAACGGCUUACCAAGGCAACGAUGCAUAGCCGACCUGAGAGGGUGAUCGGCCACACUGGAACUGAGACACGGUCCAGACUCCUACGGGAGGCAGCAGUAGGGAAUCUUCCGCAAUGGGCGAAAGCCUGACGGAGCAACGCCGCGUGAGUGAUGAAGGUCUUCGGAUCGUAAAACUCUGUUAUUAGGGAAGAACAUAUGUGUAAGUAACUGUGCACAUCUUGACGGUACCUAAUCAGAAAGCCACGGCUAACUACGUGCCAGCAGCCGCGGUAAUACGUAGGUGGCAAGCGUUAUCCGGAAUUAUUGGGCGUAAAGCGCGCGUAGGCGGUUUUUUAAGUCUGAUGUGAAAGCCCACGGCUCAACCGUGGAGGGUCAUUGGAAACUGGAAAACUUGAGUGCAGAAGAGGAAAGUGGAAUUCCAUGUGUAGCGGUGAAAUGCGCAGAGAUAUGGAGGAACACCAGUGGCGAAGGCGACUUUCUGGUCUGUAACUGACGCUGAUGUGCGAAAGCGUGGGGAUCAAACAGGAUUAGAUACCCUGGUAGUCCACGCCGUAAACGAUGAGUGCUAAGAGUUAGGGGGUUUCCGCCCCUUAGUGCUGCAGCUAACGCAUUAAGCACUCCGCCUGGGGAGUACGACCGCAAGGUUGAAACUCAAAGGAAUUGACGGGGACCCGCACAAGCGGUGGAGCAUGUGGUUUAAUUCGAAGCAACGCGAAGAACCUUACCAAAUCUUGACAUCCUUUGACAACUCUAGAGAUAGAGCCUUCCCCUUCGGGGGACAAAGUGACAGGUGGUGCAUGGUUGUCGUCAGCUCGUGUCGUGAGAUGUUGGGUUAAGUCCCGCAACGAGCGCAACCCUUAAGCUUAGUUGCCAUCAUUAAGUUGGGCACUCUAAGUUGACUGCCGGUGACAAACCGGAGGAAGGUGGGGAUGACGUCAAAUCAUCAUGCCCCUUAUGAUUUGGGCUACACACGUGCUACAAUGGACAAUACAAAGGGCAGCGAAACCGCGAGGUCAAGCAAAUCCCAUAAAGUUGUUCUCAGUUCGGAUUGUAGUCUGCAACUCGACUACAUGAAGCUGGAAUCGCUAGUAAUCGUAGAUCAGCAUGCUACGGUGAAUACGUUCCCGGGUCU